AGCAGGAAGAUAGACAAAAUUGGGAAAAGCUGCUGUUAUUGAGGCUUACACUGCAAACUGCUCUGAAGCAAAAUUCACUAGCCAAGAGAGCAGGUCACUGAUCCUCCGCUGAUCAGCACACAGCGGUUUCUCAUUCUUUAGAGUGGAUUUUGAGAUUUGCAAAUAGAAAUUAAAUCCCUCAAAGUAUCAGAGGAAAAGAAUGGAUGCAAGUACUGACAUUGAGAGAAACGGAUGGUUUCAGAUCCCUGGAGAGUUAGUAUGUUAAAG